CAAAUUCGAGAGAAUGAGGCAAUCCCAAAAUCCUACCCCAGUUGUGAUUGAGGGCUGCAACUCGCCCUCAUGAAUCUGGAAUCCCUAGUAACCGCGUGUCAACAUCGCGCGGUGAAUACGUCCCUGCUCCUUGCACACACCGCCCGUCGCUUCACCCGAGUUGGGUUUGGGGGAGAUAGUGUCUCUUUGACAUUAUCGAACCUAGGUUCGACAAGGGGGGAGAAGUCGUAACAAGGUGGCCGUAGGGGAACCUGUGGCCGGAUCACCUCCUUAG
rnacentral:rRNA from 1 species